rnacentral:rRNA from 1 species
UACGUAGGGGGCAAGCGUUGUCCGGAAUCAUUGGGCGUAAAGCGCACGUAGGCGGAUUGUUAAGUCAGGGGUGAAAUCCUGGAGCUCAACUCCAGAACUGCCUUUGAUACUGGCGAUCUCGAGUCCGGGAGAGGUGAGUGGAACUGCGAGUGUAGAGGUGAAAUUCGUAGAUAUUCGCAAGAACACCAGUGGCGAAGGCGGCUCACUGGCCCGGUACUGACGCUGAGGCGCGAAAGCCAGGGGAGCAAACGGG